rnacentral:rRNA from 1 species
UACGGAGGGAGCUAGCGUUGUUCGGAAUUACUGGGCGUAAAGCGCACGUAGGCGGCUUUGUAAGUUAGAGGUGAAAGCCCGGAGCUCAACUCCGGAACUGCCUUUAAGACUGCAUCGCUUGAAUCCGGGAGAGGCGAGUGGAAUUCCGAGUGUAGAGGUGAAAUUCGUAGAUAUUCGGAAGAACACCAGUGGCGAAGGCGGCUCACUGGACCGGUAUUGACGCUGAGGUGCGAAAGCGUGGGGAGCAAACAGG